UGAGUAGGGGGCCUGCAGUGUGCUGUGACGCCUGGGAAGGGGAUUCUAAGCCAUUUCCCGUCAGCCAUUUACUAAGUAGCCUGGGGAUCUUGUUAAAAUGCAGAUCCUGAUAGAUUCUGGCUGGGGUGCUGCCCAAGAUUCUACAUUUCUAAGAGUCCCUGGAUGACGGUGGCAUUCACAGACCACAGCUUCUAUGUGAGGGAGAGCAGUUGGGUUUCUGUCUGCCUGCCGCACCUGAUCAGUGGUUAGUGCCUGCAUGUGUGGCGGCCAGAAUUUUACCUGGGGAGACGCUCGGCUCCUAGCACCCUCUGUGGUAGGGGUUUUCCAGAGUGUGGGCAUUACCCCAACUGUCUCUGCAGACGGCUUCCUGCAUGUUUCCCACAAGCGCUCAGAUGGCUGAAUUGGCAAGUCUGUGGUGCUGCUCUUUGGGGCCACCUCGUUCUUUGCCUUUCCCUCCCCUUAGCGAUGUGUCCCAUCCGUUGCCUACAGUCAAGUCAGUCCACAUGUUUAGGCUAAGGUGGGCAUGACCGAGUGGCCUUCCCCCGGGAAGACCAGUGUCGUAAACUGGAAUUAAGUUGUGGAACAUAAGAGUCAAGGCUCGUGUCUGCUGUGAGCUGGAGUUGAGGGAAUGUUUGGGGAUCCCACCUGGUAUCAGUAAGGGAACCAUGGCGACGGCCAGCCUUGCCCACAUGAGGCAUCUGCUUUGUCAGGCCUUCUCAGUAGUGGAGAAGGGAGGAAGGAGAAUGCAGCUCUUUCAGUGCUGUCUAGCAGUGCCCAAGAGCCGUGAUUGGGCACCUCACUUAACGUCUAACUUCAAAUUCACUCUUGGGCAUUCCUGUCUUCCUCUCCAAUCUUGAAUGGAUGUUGGCUUCGAUAAUGUCAUCCUGAAGUUUCUUUGUCCACACAGCCCUGGCUGGUUGUUAAUAAGCUGUUAAUGCAGCCUUGCACUCAGGAAGCCCUGAUGUUUAAAGGAACUGUGUCUUUGUUCUUCCUCUCUUCCCUCUUUCUCUUAGUCCCACUUUCUCUCUUCUUUCUCUUCCUCUCCCUCCUCUUCCCCUCUCCCUCCUCCUCUUCCCCUUUCCCUCCUACUCUCCCCCUUUCUCUCUUCCUCCUCUAAGAAACCCAGUCUUAAUUCCACACAAUGCGUGCACAUGCAGUAGCUUCUCUGCUUGAGUGAGCUGGUGUGAUUAGGUUUUCUAAACAUGCACAUUGGCCUUGCUACUUGUCCUUUUAUUCCCUUCCCACAGACCGUAAACCAAGAAUUAUUUUUAUUUGUAUUAUUUUGAUUUUUUUAAAGUGAAAUACUAACUUUUCCUCUUUGAAAUAAAUUCCCAUUUGGAACAUC
rnacentral:antisense_RNA from 1 species